UACGUAGGUGGCAAGCGUUAUCCGGAAUUAUUGGGCGUAAAGAGCGCGCAGGUGGUUGAUUAAGUCUGAUGUGAAAGCCCACGGCUUAACCGUGGAGGGUCAUUGGAAACUGGUCGACUUGAGUGCAGAAGAGGGAAGUGGAAUUCCAUGUGUAGCGGUGAAAUGCGUAGAGAUAUGGAGGAACACCAGUGGCGAAGGCGGCUUCCUAGUCUGUAACUGACACUGAGGCGCGAAAGCGUGGGGAGCAAACAGGAUUAGAUACCU
rnacentral:rRNA from 1 species